rnacentral:rRNA from 1 species
UAAUUGAAGAGUUUGAUCAUGGCUCAGAUUGAACGCUGGCGGCAGGCCUAACACAUGCAAGUCGAGCGGCAGCACAAGGGAGUUUACUCCUGAGGUGGCGAGCGGCGGACGGGUGAGUAAUGCCUAGGGAUCUGCCCAGUCGAGGGGGAUAACAGUUGGAAACGACUGCUAAUACCGCAUACGCCCUACGGGGGAAAGAG